AAUGAACGCUGGCGGCGCGCCUAAUACAUGCAAGUCGAGCGAGAAGACGUAGCAAUACGUUUGUAAAGCGGCGAACGGGUGAGGAAUACAUGGGUAACCUACCCUCGAGUGGGGAAUAACUAGCCGAAAGGUUAGCUAAUACCGCGUACGCUUCUUGGACUUCGGUUCAGGGAGGAAAGCGAUGCCGAGGGUAUCGCGCUCUUGGAUGGGCUCAUGUCCUAUCAGCUGUUGGUGAGGUAACGGCUCACCAAGGCUUCGACGGGUAGCUGGUCUGAGAGGACGAUCAGCCACACUGGCACUGCGACACGGGCCAGACUCCUACGGGAGGCAGCAGUAAGGAAUAUUGCGCAAUGGGCGAAAGCCUGACGCAGCGACGCCGCGUGGGGGA
rnacentral:rRNA from 1 species